UAGGGAAUCUUCCGCAAUGGACGCAAGUCUGACGGAGCAACGCCGCGUGAGUGAAGAAGGAUUUCGGUUCGUAAAACUCUGUUGUUAGAGAAGAACAGCGCAUAGAGUAACUGUUAUGCGUGUGACGGUAUCUAACCAGAAAGCCACGGCUAACUACGUGCCAGCAGCCGCGGUAAUACGUAGGUGGCAAGCGUUGUCCGGAGUUAUUGGGCGUAAAGCGAGCGCAGGCGGUCAAUUAAGCCUGAUGUGAAAGCCCCCGGCUCAACCGGGGAGGGUCAUUGGAAACUGGUUGACUUGAGUGCAGAAGAGGAGAGUGGAAUUCCAUGUGUAGCGGUGAAAUGCGUAGAUAUAUGGAGGAACACCGGUGGCGAAAGCGGCUCUCUGGUCUGUAACUGACGCUUAGGCUCGAAAGCGUGGGGAGCGAACAGG
rnacentral:rRNA from 1 species